GACGAACGCUGGCGGCGUGCUUAACACAUGCAAGUCGAACGGAAAGGCCCUGCUUUUGUGGGGUGCUCGAGUGGCGAACGGGUGAGUAACACGUGAGUAACCUGCCCUUGACUUUGGGAUAACGUCAGGAAACUGGGGCUAAUACCGGAUAUGAGCUCCUGCUGCAUGGUGGGGGUUGGAAAGUUUCGGCGGUUGGGGAUGGACUCGCGGCUUAUCAGCUUGUUGGUGGGGUAGUGGCUUACCAAGGCUUUGACGGGUAGCCGGCCUGAGAGGGUGACCGGCCACAUUGGGACUGAGAUACGGCCCAGACUCCUACGGGGGGCAGCAGUGGGGAAUAUUGCACAAUGGGCGGAAGCCUGAUGCAGCAACGCCGCGUGCGGGAUGACGGCCCUCGGGUUGUAAACCGCUUUCGCCUGUGACGAAGCGUGAGUGACGGUAAUGGGUAAAGAAGCACCGGCUAACUACGUG
rnacentral:rRNA from 1 species